GGGAGGCUACCGAAAGGAAACGGACCGAGUCCAGUCGUUGGAGCGGUUUUGUCCUUCCCAGGAGCGCGUGUGAAAAAGCGCGGAGUUGGGCGGAGGGCAGCUGCCUGGACUGCCUCCUGGACUGGGUGCGAAAUCACUGCCUGCUGACAAAAAACCUCCAGGCUUGUUCGAGAAUAGUACCUAUAUUUGCUUAUUUUAUUGGUAAUUGUAAGUUUUUUUCAUCCCACGUCAAGAGAUCUAAGUAAAUUGAUCUACUUGCCAAUGACUGUAAGAAGGACAAAGAAGUUGUAAAAACAUCAAAUGAUGUUCAACAUAAAUUAGCUCAGGAUAGUUUUGAAGAAGAUAAACUACCAGGGUCAAAGCAUGCAUUAAAAACUGAUAAGUUCCCCUCUCCCAUUAAACCAUGUUUAAUAUUUUAAUGCAUAUCACUCAUGUUUUUUGUUGUUACAUAAUUUGUACUAUAGAUGUUUUUACAAGAAAACAUCUACCACAGUUUCUAAGAUGCAGUUCACGUAAUAAUGCUUUUUGGUAUUAAUUGUAUUUGUGGUACAGAUGUGCCAUUAACUAUGGGUCCUCAUUUAUGAAUGGCAUAGAUUUUAAUGCAUCAUGUUGCAUCCAUCAAAACUAAACUUCAGAGACCAGCCCUGUAAUUGAACUCUGGAGAUGGAAGUGAGAGUGGACAGAAACUAAUACCUUAGUGAACUAAAACUUUAUGCCUUUUGUGCAGUCCAGACAAGUCCUGUUAAGGGCAAUUAAGUUCAAAAAUGCAGCUUUUCUGUCAAAAACAUCCUACUCUUCCCUCCCAGGACUUUUUACAGUUCAUCUGCAUUCACGUAUCUAUUCUAAUCAAGCACUUACGAGCCAAAAAAAGAGUAUCUAUAGAAGUCAUAUUGACAAUGUUAUUGCACUUAUUACAUUCUCUAGCUAAAAAAACUCAAUAUUUGUAAUUGUAAAAUGUUACUGUCAUAAUUUAAGGUUUUAUAAUAGACUAUGAAUUAAUGAUCCCAUUUUAUCUUAACUCAUACUACCGCAACAGGCAUUAUCAUUACCACUAUGUUACACAAGAAAGUGGGCCUAGAAAUGCCAAACGUAUGUGUCCAAGAUCAUUACAUAGGUUCCAAUUCUAGAUUGACACACUCUUGGUUACCAAAAAGUUUCCUUUUAUAAAGCAUUUUUAUCGCAUGAUGUAUGUCACUUCUUUUUCUUUUGAUAUACUUUGGGUAUAAUCAUGAUUGUCCUUAUUGUAUAGAAAGGAACUAUUCUGAAUCAAAGAGAAUUCAAGAAAAUGGCCGGAUUCAGACAGGUUAAUAAAUGCAUCAAAAUUUUUAAAUUAUGACACUGUACUUUUCUUUUCUCUACCUUAUAGGAAAGAAAUUAAAAGUGCAGUAUUGAAAGAUGUACAACUGACUUUGAAAAAAAAUAUUCCUCUCUAACUGGUGUUUGCAAAUAAUCUAAACAUUUUUAAACUAUCA